CCCACCAAGGCGACGAUGCAUAGCCGACCUGAGAGGGCGAACGGCCACAUUGGGACUGAGACACGGCCCAAACUCCUACGGGAGGCAGCAGUAGGGAAUUUUCGUCAAUGGGGGGAACCCUGAACGAGCAAUGCCGCGUGAGUGAAGACGGUCUUCGGAUUGUAAAGCUCUGUUGCGAGAGAAAAACGACACGGAUAGGGAAUGAUCCGUGGGUGAUGGUAUCUCGCCAGAAAGUCACGGCUAACUACGUGCCAGCAGCCGCGGUAAUACGUAGGUGGCGAGCGUUAUCCGGAAUGAUUGGGCGUAAAGGGUGCGUAGGCGGCCCGUUAAGUCUGGAGUCAAAGCCGGCAGCUCAACUGUCGUACGCUUUGGAAACUGGCGGGCUGGAGUGCAGAAGAGGGCGAUGGAACUCCAUGUGUAGCGGUAAAAUGCGUAGAUAUAUGGAAGAACACCAGUGGCGAAGGCGGUCGCCUGGUCUGCAACUGACGCUGAAGCACGAAAGCGUGGGGAGCAAAUAGGAUUAGAUACCCUAGUAGUCCACGCCGUAAACGAUGAGAACUAAGUGUUGGGGGAAUAACUCAGUGCUGCAGUUAACGCAAUAAGUUCUCCGCCUGGGGAGUAUGCACGCAAGUGUGAAACUCNAAGGAAUUGACGGGGGCCCGCACAAGCGGUGGAGUAUGUGGUUUAAUUCGAAGCAACGCGAAGAACCUUACCAGGCCUUGACAUCCCGGGCAAGGGCGUAGAGAUACGUCGGAGGCUAUCCCGGUGACAGGUGGUGCAUGGUUGUCGUCAGCUCGUGUCGUGAGAUGUUGGGUUAAGUCCCGCAACGAGCGCAACCCUUGUGAUAUGUUACUACCAGUAAGAUGAGGACUCAUAUCAGACUGCCGGUGACAAACCGGAGGAAGGUGGGGAUGACGUCAAAUCAUCAUGCCCCUUAUGGCCUGGGCUACACACGUACUACAAUGGCGCAUACAAAGAGCAGCGAACCCGUGAGGGCAGGCGAAUCUCGCAAAGUGCGUCUCAGUUCGGAUUGAAGUCUGCAACCCGACUUCAUGAAGUGGAAUCGCUAGUAAUCGCGAAUCAGC
rnacentral:rRNA from 1 species